UCCCGGCGAGCGGGGAAGGCGGGCGCGGGAGGAUGGAGUUGGCUGUAAGUGGGUGCUGCCGGUGGGAGACUGCGGGCCCCGGAGCACAGCCCCGGGAAGCCACUGCUUCCCAGGGAUUAAAGGAGCCUCUGGGCUUAGGAAGAAUUUUACCCCAGGACUCCCAACAGGGGCCUUCAACCCAGAGUCAUCACACCAGGAAGCCAGCUUCAAAGCAACAAGCUCCUGCCUUAGCCCCCAUCUAAGCCCACUUAGCUGCACUGAUACAGUCCCUUCCCCGGCGCCCUCCUGGCCCACCUCCACUCCCAAGUAGGCGCUCAGUAUUGAGGAACAAGGGGAGGCAGUACAGCCAAACCUCAUUAAUCCAGACCCCUGUUGGUUCGGAAUUUCUUCACAAUUUGAAAAGAAAAAAAAAAAAUUUUAAACC